UUUGGUAAUUCUAGAGCUAAUACAUGCCUCGAGUCCCCGAUCAUGUCUUCGGUUAACCGCCGUCGGUUGUGUGAAGGGCGCUUUUAUUAGUUCGAAACCGACCGUUGGGUUCUGGGUUGGCUCCGGUCACUCCCCAACGUGUUUGUUUUGUGUUGACUCUGGAUAACUUUUUGCUGAGCGUACGGUCUUUGCACCGACGCCGCUUCUUUCAAGUGUCUGCCUUAUCAGCUUUCGAUUGUAGGUUAAACGCCUACAAUGGCUAUAACGGGUAACGGGGAAUCAGGGUUCGAUUCCGGAGAGGGAGCCUGAGAAACGGCUACCACAUCUAAGGAAGGCAGCAGGCACGCAAAUUACCCACUCCCGGCACGGGGAGGUAGUGACGAAAAAUAACGAUGCGAGACUCAUCCGAGGCCUCGCAAUCGGAAUGAGUACACUUUAAAUCCUUUAACGAGGACCAAUUGGAGGGCAAGUCUGGUGCCAGCAGCCGCGGUAAUUCCAGCUCCAAUAGCGUAUAUUAAAGUUUGUUGCGGUUAAAAAGCUCGUAGUUGGAUUUAGCGUGUGUUGGUGUCGGUCCGCAUGUUUGAACGUGCGGUACUGUUCACGCUUCACACGUUUGUGUGUGGUCGACUUGGUGGGGGUGCUCUUGACCGAGUGUCCCCCGUGGGCGACCGAGUUUACUUUGAAAAAAUUAGAGUGCUCAAAGCAGGCCUGAAAUGUUAGUGCCUGAAUUAAAUGUGCAUGGAAUAAUGGAAUAGGACCUUGGUUCUAUUUUGUCGGUUUUGUGUUACCAAGGUAAUGAGUAAUAGAAACAGGCGGGGGCAUUCGUAUUGCGACGCUAGAGGUGAAAUUCUUGGACCGUCGCAAGACGAACUAAUGCGAAGCUUUUCCAAGGGUUUUUUUUUUUAAUCAAAAACAAAAUUUAGGGGUUCAAAGGCAAUCAGAUACCGCCCUAGUUCUAACCGUAAACGAUGCUGACCAGCGAUCCGCCGGCGUUAUUCCCAUGACCCGGCGGGCAGCUUCCGGGAAACCUAUUGAGUUUUUGAGUUCCGGGGGAAGUAUGGUUGCAAAGCUGAAACUUAAAGGAAUUGACGGAAGGGCACCACCAGGAGUGGAGCCUGCGGCUUAAUUUGACUCAACACGGGAAACCUCACCAGGCCCAGACACCGGAAGGACUGACAGAUUGAGAGCUCUUUCUCGAUUCGGUGGGUGGUGGUGCAUGGCCGUUCUUAGUUGGUGGAGCGAUUUGUCUGGUUAAUUCCGAUAACGAACGAGACUCURUCCUACUAAAUAGUGCACGGAUCUCCAUUUGAUGGUGUCCAGUUGUUUACUUCUUCUUAGAGGGAUAAGCGGCAGUUGUAGCCGCACGAGAAAGAGCAAUAACAGGUCUGUGAUGCCCUUAGAUGUCCUGGGCCGCACGCGCGCUACACUGAAAGGUUCAGCCUGUUUUCCUAGUCCGAGAGGACCGGGUAACCGUUUGAAAUCCUUUCAUGAUAGGGAUUGGGGUCUGCAAUUGUUUCCCAUGAACGAGGAAUUCCCAGUAAGCGCAAGUCAAUAGCUUGCGUUGAUUACGUCCCUGCCCUUUGUACACACCGCCCGUCGCUACUACCGAUUGAAUGAUUUAGUGAGGGCUUCGGACUGUCGCUGCUGGGUGAUGUGUCUCUGGCUUGUUGUAUCGUUCAAAGCGAGCAGCAGUUAUGCACACCAGGGGCUGACGGAAAGAUGUCCAAACUUGAUCAUUUAGAGGAAGUAAAAGUCGUAACAAGGUUUCCGU
rnacentral:rRNA from 1 species